UACAGAGACUGCAAGCGUUAUUCGGAUUCACUGGGCGUAAAGGGUGCGUAGGCGGGUUCUUAAGUCAGUGGUGAAAGCCCGGAGCUCAACUCCGGAACUGCCAUUAAAACUGUUUAGCUUGAGGACGAGAGAGGUGAGUGGAAUUCCCAGUGUAGAGGUGAAAUUCGUAGAUAUUGGGAAGAACACCGGUGGCGAAGGCGGCUCACUGGCUCGUAUCUGACGCUCAGGCGCGAUAGCGUGGGGAUCAAACAGG
rnacentral:rRNA from 1 species